AAGUCUUUCUUGUAACAUGGUAGACCGCAAGUAAGACUUCAACAACUUCAAUUUUGAAAAGCUUUUUUCUGCAGAGGCAACUGUCACAGGAAUAGUUAAUAAAAUUCUAUAUGCAAUAAUUGUAUUAGGAAAACAAUUCAUGUCUUUCAAAAAAUUUAAUAUAUCAAUAGGCCCCAUCUUUCCUCCAGGCAACAUAUUUCUUAGUAACCUUAACUCCACACUUAUUUCUUUCCCAACAACAUCAAACUGCUCAUUAUGUUUCAACCUUUCCUCUAAAUUACUACAACAAGAGUUCAAAGUUGCAUCAUCCAACAAUCGUAAAUUUUGAGAACUAAACAAGAAACCAAAAACACUUUCAUAUUGUUGGUAUUGCUCAAAUCUCGUUUUAAGAGAUACAACAGCUUGAUCAACAAGGUAAAGAAAAUAAUUAACCCUAAAAGAUUCCUUUCCAGAUAGCUCGACUGACGCGGUACUCAAAUUCUCAUCAAAUUGUCUUUUUCUUUGAAUUUUACGCUUUUGAGAAAAUACUGGAUCAAUGUUCAAUUCAAGAGCAAUUUCCGUAGCAUAAUUCAAGACAUUUUUAAAACCAGUUUCUCUAUAUUCCUCAAAAAAUGAAAUCAACCCCUUUAUUUUUUCCAUAGCAAAAUCAAUAAGCAUAUCACUUGACUGUAAGAGCUUGCUAACCGUAUGAAUUGCAAAUAAUAUUUCAUACCAAAUAACUAUCGCCACUAAAAACUUAAAAUCACCAAGCUCAUUUGUUGCUAAGGAUUUGGCUUCACUUUCUAUUUUAGAAUCUGAAUCAUUUUCUGACACUUCAAGUAAAACUUCUCUAAAAUCUGACAUUUGAAGUCUUAUAGCUUUGACACUAUCUAUAUGACUCUCCUAACGAGUGGAUGACAAUGAUUUCGGAGUCAACCCUUUUACAUUAUCUUUUAAAAUUUGCCAUCUCUUGGUAGAAUUGGCAAAAAUAGUAUAAAUGCGUUGAACAACUCCAAAAAAUUCUUUAGCUUUGCGACAAGAGUUUGCCAUAUCACACAAUACCAAAUUGAGACUAUGACAACCACAAGGAGUAUAAAAGGCUCUAGGAUUUAUAUCUAAAAACCUCUUUUGUACACCUUGAUGUUUUCCUUUCAUAUUCGACCCAUUGUCAUAACCUUGUCCUCGCACAUCAAAUAGGUCUAGAUCAAGCUUUUUCAAUUCAUCUUGUAAAACAUCAAAAAGACCCUGCCCUGUUGUAUCAUCCACAUUCAAAAAUCCUAAGAAAGAUUCCUCAAUCCUAUUUGAAGAAACAUUCACGUAUCGUAUUAACAAAGACAUUUGUUCUUGAUGACUAACAUCAGGGGUACAAUCAAGUAUCACUGAAAAAUACUUUGCUUGUUUUAUUUUUCUAAUAAUUUCAUUUUUAAUUUCAGAAGCAAGCAAAAGUAUUAGUUCAUUUUGGAUAUUAUGCCCAAGAUAGUGAACAUGAAGAUUGUCAUCUGUAAUACGUCUUACAUGUUCUUGGACAAUUUGGUCAAAUUCAGCUACCAUUUCAAUUAAACCUAAAAAAUUACCAUUGCUAUUUUGGUACAAUUUCUCAUUAUGACCACGGAAGGCCAAAUUUUUUCUACCAAGGAAUUUCACUAUUGAAAUAAUUCUUUUUAAAACAUUUUUUCAGUGAUCUUUUUCUUUAUCAAUCAAUAUUUGAAUUGAUUUAUCAAUAGUUUGAAAUUUUUUCAACUUUUGACGCAACUCAUACCAAGUAGUCAUAUUCUUAACAUGUUCCAUGCAAGUCUCAUGCUCUUUCAGUCUUUGAUUAACAUGUAUCAAAUCACUAAAACCCUCAUUUACUAAUUGACCAAUAGUAAUCCCUCUUUUUAAAAACUUUAAAACAAAAGCAAAAUACUCUAUCAAGCUCUUUUGAAUAAACAAGUCAAUCUCUAUCACAUGUCUCUCCAUUUGGCAAAACUCUAGUAUACCAAUUAGCUAAAAAGCGUCUAGAAAAUUUAUCCUUAGGACCCUUCACAAUAGAACAAUCUCUUUUAGGACCUUUUGUAACUAAUAAAUCUCGCAUUCUAGAAUCAAGAGAAUCCCAAAUAGUUGGAUCAAAUAUAUCAUGACCAAUAUCAUUCACAUCAACAUUUUCGGCACGAACAAUUUCAUUAUCAUCAUCAACAUUUUCAUUUUCAACAUCAACAACAUUUUCAACAUCAAUAUUAUUAUUAACAUUUUCAGCAUUUUCAAUAUCAACAGUUUGAACAUCAACAAUAUCAGCAUCAAUAUUUUCACAUUUUGUGGUUCUUUAAUAAUAAAUUUUUCGAUAGCUCCUGAUUGAAAUUGAGUUAAUUUCUCAAGUCUUAUCUUUUUCUUACGCUUUACAUAUCCACAAUCAUAUUUCCUACCCUUAGAAAGUGACUUAGGAGGCAUUGAGGGACAAAAAUAGAACCUGAAAAUUCUCACCGUUCUGGAUCGAUUCCGCAGGACCGCAACAUUGAAGUAGAACCAAAUAGACAACAUUGAAGUUGAACCGGAAAAAAAAGAAAAAAAGAACGUAAUUAGCAAUUAAAAC
rnacentral:lncRNA from 1 species